CUAAACAAACGUCCUCUGAGUUCUGCUGUGCAUUUAAGUGCUUGGCAUAUCGUCCAAGUCCUGCUGUAUGACACUGAUACCGUGAAUCUGUAAUUUAUCACUCUACUUAUGGUUCUACAAACCUGGCACUACAAGGAUGGGCUAACCGUAAUCCUCACUAAUAUAUCGCUCCAAAGACAUCUUAUCCCUGGACCAGCAUUUUUACACAGUUCUUCUUGUCUGAAUGCUUCACAGUCUGGAGGCUUGUACACAAGGAUAUCAUUCAACAGAACACUUGAAAAACCCCCAAAUAUGUACAUGGACCUAAU